UGGGGAAUAUUGGACAAUGGGGGGAACCCUGAUCCAGCCAUGCCGCGUGUGUGAAGAAGGCCUUAUGGUUGUAAAGCACUUUAAGCGAGGAGGAGGGUACUGGUAUUAAUACUACCAGCUACUGGACGUUACUCGCAGAAUAAGCACCGGCUAACUCUGUGCCAGCAGCCGCGGUAAUACAGAGGGUGCGAGCGUUAAUCGGAUUUACUGGGCGUAAAGCGUGCGUAGGCGGCUAAUUGAGUCGGAUGUGAAAUCCCCGAGCUUAACUUGGGAAUUGCAUUCGAUACUGGUUAGCUAGAGUGUGGGAGAGGAUGCUAGAAUUCCAGGUGUAGCGGUGAAAUGCGUAGAGAUCUGGAGGAAUACCGAUGGCGAAGGCAGCCAUCUGGCCUAACACUGACGCUGAGGUACGAAAGCAUGGGGAGCAAACAGG
rnacentral:rRNA from 1 species